AACUCUGCGCACUGGAGAUAUCGUACCUAAUGAGGAACGUCCGAGGUGGGAUUAUUGCUAAUUGAAGAAAUCAAUUGAUUACUAAGCCAACGGCAGUCCUACUGGAACUGAAAACUGGAAUACUGAAAAGUUUGAAAACAAA